rnacentral:lncRNA from 1 species
UUUUUGUACUUGAUUUGUUGGGGACUGAGUGACCUGGCAAUAAAACUGACUUCAUAUUGCUGCUUAACUCUUAUUGAUGUCUUGUUCAGCUUCUAUCUGCAUACAUGAGAAGCAGAAUGCAAGCCCUGCUCCUGAGCAGAUGCAGGGGAUUGUCUCCUGAGCACUGAUGGGUGCAGCCUGGGAUGAACUGCUCACAGCUCUGUCCCUGCACGGUGACUGCUGCCGCGCUCCCAUACCGCCAGGUCGCAGCUGGGGUUUGUCUCACUGCUGCAAAGAUUGCAGCAUCCCACAGCAGCACUUCACUUUACCAUAUUUUAAAAUUAAAAACAAACAAACAAACAAAGCCACCGAACCUGAGGACCAUUUUGUGUUGCUUAAUUCCAGCAGGAGAAAACCCCAGUGAAUACGUUGACAGGAACUUCCCCCACUCCUGCCUACUUCAUGUGCCACCCAGCUUCUCCCAUUCAGCAGCUCACCUGAUUUAAAGACCGAACCAGGAUUUAAAGAACAACAUGAAGAAAAGAAACCCUAAGCUUACUCAAGUCUUCCUGUGACAAUAGCUUUGCCUUGACCUACAAAAACUGCAAAAGAUGGCUGAAAACACCUGCAUUUACAUUCAGACAUAUAAAAAUUCCUAUUUAUGGAUAAACUGUUAUGGAAAGGACAGGGGCAGGCCGGGGGAGUUCUCACACAGCCAGCACCUGCAGCAGCCCGCCCUGCAGCACUCCGUGCCCAACCCUGCGCUGCCUCUGCCGCUUCUGUCCCCAAGCGGGCUGGGUGAAAGCCACCACAGACACACUGCAUGCACUGACACCUCCUGCCAGGACUGACUUCUUGACACCUCCAAAUCAAGACUGGGCAUUUCUCUAGAAGACACAUUGCAGCAGUUCCAUCCAGUUCCACCUGGCCCGUGGCUGUCACAGGAAGCAGAUACACAGGGUAUGUGACGGUCCUUCCUUGGCUGAAAAUAGCUUUAAAGCAGCCCCUCAGUGCCUUUGGGGAAGCCAACUGUCCUUAAUCCUGAGAUACAAACAUUUUAGGAUUUGUUUUUUUCUGAUCUGUCAUCCAGGAAGCUGCAUGUACAUUACAGAACACCGGCACUCCACACCCGUGUGAGUUAAGAAGAGAUUACUUUGCAGGGCAAAUAUUGCAAGCACUUUCCACUUCGACCUGUGCAUGCAGUCUGCUGGACGUUUCUGCAAGUGCUGCAGCAAUCCCCAAUAAAUGGCAGGAACAUCCGUGGGAAGAGCA